rnacentral:misc_RNA from 1 species
UGCCAAACCCUACUAAAUCUCUUGCCUUCUUUUUCAACUCUGAAAUCCACCCCAUUGGAAGGAUACGCUUUAGCUCCAAUACACAAUCACCACAACCACCCAUUUCUUUUGGGGCACAAGAAAUACUUCCAUCAUCAUUGGCAUUCCACAGCACAAAUGGAGGUUCCCCUUGAUCCUCAAGAUUUUCAAAACCACAAGGCAGUGGAUCUCUACCAUGCAUAUAUUCAGAGCCUCAAUAGACAC